GGAGGGUGCAAGCGUUGUUCGGAAUCACUGGGCGUAAAGAGCGUGUAGGCGGCUGGCUAAGUCUGGUGUGAAAGCCCGGGGCUCACCCCCGGAAGUGCGCUGGAAACUAGUCAGCUAGAGUAUGGGAGAGGGAAGUGGAAUUCCUGGUGUAGCGGUGAAAUGCGUAGAUAUCAGGAGGAACACCGGCGGCGAAGGCGGCUUCCUGGACCAAUACUGACGCUGAGACGCGAAAGCGUGGGGAGCAAACAGGGAUUAGAUACCCUGGUAGUCCACGCCGUAAACGAUGGGCACUAGAUGCCCGCGGGUAUUGACCCCUGCGGUGUCGCAGCUAACGCAUUAAGUGCCCCCGCCUGGGAGUACGGUCGCAAGAUUA
rnacentral:rRNA from 1 species